UAGCCUCAAGGUAAAACCCAAUGUGCAAACUAAUUUAACACCUUAUCUUGGAAACAUAGUGAAUGGAUAAUAAGAAUACGGGUUGCACCUCAGUUUGUUUGUUUAAUGUCCUUUGACAAGAAAUAUAAGGAGUUAAGGGCUUUGCUCAAGAGCACAAAAAAGAUCUACAGGCACUAGAUUAUCUGUUUAAGGACAACAUAGGAUGGAAAUGGUGUGGCCGCUCUUCAUGAUGUAUAUAAAUUAAAGGAUAUUUAAUAUCUUCUUUUGCUCUUGUCGAGCAUCAGACAUUUCAAACGGACAAGCAACGAACAAACACUGACCCUGAUGUUAACCACUGCACUGCAUAACUGGAACUGGUUGAGAUGGUUUUGGGACCUCCUUGGCCUCAUUGUUUUUUUGUUGAACAUUAUUCUAGGAGAGAUUGUGGGAAUAUUGGAUACUUAGAAAAGCACCUAAAAUAUGUGAUCGUAGUCUCUUUUCUAAUGUUUCAGAUUAGACUUUUUCAACUCAUUUAACUUACCUCCAACACUCGAACUUGCAAUGACUGCCUCGUGGGUUGCACCUCCUACCAAUCUUCACUUGGAUCCUUUUUUGCCACCUUCCCAUAAAUAGUACCUAUACGGUAAUACUCAUCUACCUCUUGUUACCUUCAACUCUCCUCCAAGGAUAAUUAAUUUCAGUGCUGCUCAAGCUCUUUGGUAACGCCAGCCACCUCCUGAGGUAUAGCUGCUGACCCUCCUGCUCUCUGAGAUCUCAAAAGUUUGGAUGUUAAGAAUGUUAGCAUUCAAACAAACUGCCCAACGUCAUAAACUAUUUAUCAGCUAAACAUCAACAUGUUAGAAUGGUUAUUGUUAGCAUGCAGCGAAAUCCUGCUAUUAUGAACAGAUGGCCAAUGUAUUUAUUGUGGUAUUGUCGUAUUUAAGGGUCUACCCUCUUGGCCUGCCAUUAUUUCCAUAUGACAGUGACAAAAAUAAGCAACAUACUGCGAAUCUCAUUUAAGGUGCCUAGAGGAAGCCAGUUCUUAAAGAAAAUCUCACUCGGAACACAGCAUCUCAAAGCAGCUGGUUAUUUGCAAUAUCCAGCUGUAGGCUCAGUGUUGCCUCUUUUCUGUGGUGUCAAACCAGACUGACCUCAGGCCAGCAGGCUAUCACAAUAGAGAGGGAGCUCAAUCUGUUCCAGGUGUUCAACAGAAGAGGUACACUACAAGGUGUUUCACUAAACCCCCCAAAGAGAAAAAACGUUCUCAUUUUAGCCAGAAAAUUGUAAUCCUAUAUGGGGAUAUGUGAAAGCUGGCAGUUCCAUUCACAGCGCUUCACUUUUUCCACAUUUUGUUAAGUUACAGCCUUAUUCCAUAAUGGAUUAAAUUCAUUUUAUCCCUCAAAACUCCACACACAACACACCAUAAGAACAAAGUGAAAUAUUUUUGAAAAUUUCUUCCUUCCCAUCCUGCUUCCACUGAUCAUCUUUGUUCAGCUGAUUGGACAUGAAUUAGAAAAGCACCUGUCUGUAGCAGGUUCCACAGUUGACCGUGCAUGUCAGAGCACAAACCAAGCCAUGAAGUCCAGGGAAUUGUCUGUAGGCCUGAGACAUACUUGUAUAGAAGCACAGAUCUGCCGAUGGGUAAAGAGGAAUUUCUGCAGCAUUGAAGUUCCCAAUGAGCACAGUGGUCUCCAUCAUCCGAAAAUUGAAGAAGUUUGGAAACACCAGAACCCGCCCAGCCAAACUAAGCGAUUGAGAGAGAAGGGCUUUUGUCAGGGAACGCUGAUGCUCUGUCAGAGUGACCCGAUGACUUUGCUCUGGGAUAACUCUGUGAAUGUCCUUGAGUAGCCCGCCCAUAGCCCCGACUUGAACCUGCUUCUGGAGAGAUAUGAAAAUGCCUGUGCACCUACACUCCCCAUCCAACCUGAUGGAACCUCAGAGGUUCUGCAAAGAAGGAUUGCUUCCAAUUACAGCCUCAGAUAUUAAAGUGCUUCAACCAAGGAUUCAGGUGCAUCCCAAAAGCAUUUUCCAUUUAACAUGUCAAAGUGUUAACAAAUCUUACUGAAUCUACGUGUAGGUUUCACCUAUGGUUUUUAGUGUGGUGAUUCAAUGAUCACUUGUUGAAUGUAUUUCAAUCAUGCGAUUUUAAACAGAGCUUAACACUGCUGCAGUAGGCUUGCUUUUAACCAUAGAAAAAUGAAAACUAUGAAACAAACAAACCUCUGGACAAUAAAACAGGACCCAAAGUUAAUAACACAUACACAGUUGAUUAAAAAGUGAAUUUAUAACAGGCUAAACAGAGCACGAAGGGUAGAAAAGAGGAUUUUCUUCUUUGUUUACUUUUAAUUGAAUCCCGGUUUUAACCCAUUUUCUCAGGACAAACACACACUUAAAUGGGCAACUAGGAACCAAUUCUGACUAUGAACAUUGACAAGUAAUUGCACAAAUGCAUAUACAUUAUAUACAGUCAAAAUAUAACAACUAGGGAUUUUAAUAUUUGUGUGCAUGUGUGUUUUGGUCUGUGUCAAGCACAUUCUUUUGUAAUAAUACCCUCUUCGGACAAAAUGUCUCUUGUCCAAAGGGGGUAUUAAAUGACUCGAAGUAGUCCAAAUAUAUAACAGAUCUCUCUGUAAAAUGCUAUACGUGUGUAUUCGUGCCUAUGGGAAGGGAAGCCAUCCACUAGUGUGAUGCAAAUGUUGGGAUUUGGUUCUUUUAAAAUGAGCAGUUGGUGUUGCUGAUUUUCCGAUUAGAUGCCCUUAAAUCACUAUUGACGAAGUAGACAAAACCAAAUGAGAUGUUUAAAACCGCUCCAGUCGACCCUCAACCUGUGGAAAACUGUUUCGCUGUGGAUGAGUAAAAAAAAAAAACAAUCACCACAUUUGUUGUUGUGGAAAGAUAUGGUUACGUUUGUCUGUUCCAGUCUGCAUGCGUGUUUCUGCGUACUUGCACGCUGACAUAGUGUGAUGCUUCAGUUAGCCAGGGGUGAACACUGCUGAUAGCGGCGUGUUGGUCUCAAGAACAGGAAGUGAGCAGGGUCCAUCUCAGCAGCGAUUGGGUGAGUCACGGACACCCCACGCUGUAGCAGUCAAAGGGUUGAGGCUAAUCAAUACACACGCUCAAACACACACCACAGGCUUAGUAGGCAGGUGUAAUCAGUCUGUGUUUGUGGCAGCUGGCGAUGACAAAUUGAUUCUCUCUUUUUCUCACUCUUUGUUCAUACAUGUUUUUUUACCUUUCCCACCCGCCAUAAGUGUCUGACUGGCUGACUUGGUCUUUGACAAUUUCUCUCCGUUCAUCUGUCUUUCUCUCUCCCACUGCUUAUAUAUAUAUAUAUAUUUUUUUUUUUUUCCCAAUGUCUGCUGUCACUUCCUUCUCCCUCUGCCAGCGCUCACUUUGUGCUUUUCAUCACACACGGUUCCCCAGAGGUUUUCCAUGCUGCCGUCAGUGUCUCACACUCCUGUUUUGUGUUAGUCUGUUUUUCCACAAUGCACCUGUUAGGUUCCUUAUCGGGUUGUUGACAUCCAGACUUUUUGGGGGUGUAGGAAUGAGGUUAAAUUAUAUAUUUUGCUCUGGUCAUAGUUUUUAAUAUCAGCUACAUAAUUAACAAUUAUACAUACACCUAUAUAUAUAUACAUAUAUAUAUAUACAUACAUAUACAUGUAUAUAUAUAUAUACAUACAUAUACAUGUAUAUAUAUGUGUGUGUGUUUCCACUGAUCAUCCUUCAGAUGUUUCUACAACUUGAUUGGAGUCCACCUGUGCUAAAUUCAGUUGACUGGACAUAGAUAUCGGUGCGACAACAGAAACCUUGACCAUCUUGUUGAGUCUCUACAGCCAGGGUACUGGGAACAUCUUGUCCACGUAAGACACGUCAGUUCUUUGACCGUGUCCUUGCUCUCCCAACAUGCUAAAACAAAGGUGGUCAUAGACAUAACGAACACUUUGUUCAAUCUCUACAGCUAUGACGCUGGAAACAUCUAAUCCAAGUGGGAGACAUCAGUUCUUAUGUCAGGGCCUUUGUGAUCUAACCACUUGCAACUAAUAAACUGGUUAUACAAAUGAAGCAUUUAAAAGGGUUACAUAUAAUUUUCCCAUUACAUGUUCUUCAGAGAGCAAGUUUGAAAAAACAGUUUUCACUUUGUUGUUGUGGGUGUGUAGAAUGUUGAGGAAAAUAAUGAAUUUGAUCGAUUUUGGAAUAAGGCUGUAACAUAACAAAAUGUGGAAAAGCGCAGUGAAUACUUUCCAGAUGCACUGUAGGUGGGUAUCGCAGGGUGUCAUGACAGCGUCCUUCCACGUGGUACACAGCUACUGCAGACUCAUUCUUGUUGGACCCUUUACCCAGACUCUGCCCUGCAGGUCUUUGUAGUGUUGCUUUUUGGCCCAGAAAUAUCUGCAGCAAGCAUUCCAGCCAUCUCUCCGAUACGAUUGGCUCCAAAUAAACACUUGGCAGACGUCAGGACACAAUAAGAGAACAUUGUUUUGGCCCGAGUCAUUGUGUCUUGUGUGCAUGGAAAGAAUAAUGACAUCCUGGCAACCACAUUUUAUCAAAUAAAUGCCUAGAUUGGUAUACUAACCUUGACCCGCUUGUGCGUCAUCAUUACCUAUCAGGUUACUCUCAGUUACUCUCUGUUGAUGUGUGUGUGUGUGUGUGUGUAUACUGUGAGUCUGUGUGUGUGUGCACUGUCCCUGGAGCUAAAAGUCAGCAGAAGAGACAUAUUUCAUUAAAGCAGAAUUCUCAUUUUAAGCUUAAUUGUUGAAAGGCUACUCGUUCGAUCUUUCUUUACUCAAGACCUAAAUACGAGCAUGAGUUAUUGCUGUACUUUAUUGUGAUUGUUAUAGUUUUCCUCAACUCUACUGACCGACACAAGCGAAGUCAAGUAAAUAAUAACUGGAAGUUUGUUUCUUUCCCUCAGUCUUUUCUGUGUGUCAUGGUUAUUAUUCACACUGUAGUUUAACGGAACAAUUCUUUCACAUUUUGCAUAAUUAUGAAAUCCUCUAUGAGUAAGCGAUGAAAUAACUGCUAUUUCAUGACUUAUUGUUAUUCUCAGGCUCUCGUGUUUAUGUGAACGGAUGACACAGUGACAACGUAAUCUUCAUCACAUCUUUUGCAUGUGUGUCUCACACACACAAGGAGUCUUUGUUAAGGCAAGUAGACAUCUGCUCCCGGGACAGUGGUACAAUUUUGCCAGAUUUAGUAGCACAUCGAGACGUCCCACUCACUUUCAUGACAACUGAUGGAUGUCAGAUAGAAUCUUUUCCCUAUUUGAAUGUUAUCUUUGCACAUUGUCAUUGAGUUAAACAAAGCGUAAUUCGCAUAGGAAAAAAGGAUGACCUCAUAGCAAAUAUUUCUGAUAUAAAGUUUGAUUUUUAAAUCAAUACUGUUGACUAUUUGUUUCAACUAAAGAAGAGUUGAGUAAUCAUUGUGACCAAAAAUAAGCAUUUUAAAGGUGAUGAAAACGGAUGUCAUCUAAAUAUUAAGAAGUUGUAACAUGAUUUUACAACUCCGGCCCUGUCCAAAUUGAUCCCGGGUUUAUUUGACAUGUUGAUGCUUAAAAAAACAUGUUUGUCGGUGUUUGCUAACACUAGAAAGCUCCUUGACUGCCUUUGGUUAUCCAAGAGGAAGCAAACACACACUCAGACAGUGUGAAUCUGGGUUAAGAGUCUUUGGGUUUGCCUUGUGUUGUGGGGGGGGGGUCCUUUUUCAUAAAGCCUGUCUUCACUGCACUCGCUGGUGGUCCAUUUAUUCAGUGUCCGUACUGUUUCAUGUCUCUCAUCACCGUUUUCCUAACGUUGCCUCCCGUCCUCUGUCGCUCAGCCACGUCCCGCUCUCUCUCUGUGUCGCUUUCUUGAGUGACAUGUCCAAUGAUGUUUGCCUCUCAGUACCCCGACCUUCAAAUCUCUGGAAAGCACACACAAAAAUAAACACUCCUACACGGCGCACAGCGAGACUGCUAAUGGCUUCUACCAUUGGAGCGUCUGUUGACAGGGGGAUUACAGCUAGGGAGCACCAAAAAGAGGAAACUCAGAGACAAAGGGGGCUAGCUGUAAGCUAGCGAAAGGCCAAGUGUGGCUACAUAAUGGCGAAGGUGUUGCUAGCAGGCCGUGUUUGUGUACCUUGCAUAGUAAAAGUCUGCCUGCAGAAAAAUCUACAUUAUGUGUGGAGGAAAGGGUGUAUUGGUUUGUACAUAUUAAAACAAAGAAAAGACUGAAAGCAAAGCAGAUCUUAGCAUAGCAGUGGAUAUCACCACAUUCACACAACUGGGAAACAGAAUUCCUGCUGUCUGAAAGACGGCGUCAUGGUCUUCUGUUGAAAACUGGUGAUUGUGGUGGAAGAUUUUGCACAGACAAUCGUUAAGUAAGAAACAAAGGCUCUGAGUCAAGUAUGUCUUUUCUCCGUUUAUUUCCUUGCAAGGGAAAGAGGGUCACAACAGCUACGUGGUCAGUAGACUGUCAAGAACCUCCUUUCUGCCCCAACACAUCGAGGCAGUUCUUAUACCUAAGUUUAGAUAUCGGUGCGACAACAGAAACCUUGACCAUCUUGUUGAGUCUCUACAGCCAGGGUACUGGGAACAUCUUAUCCACGUAAGACACGUCAGUUCUUUGACCGUGUCCUUGCUCUCCCAACAUGCUAAAACAAAGGUGGUCAUAGACAUAACGAACACUUGUUCAACAUAUUAGUAUAUUAUUGUGAGGGACAAAGGUGCUUAGUGACAACACUUUAAGGCACUGCAGACAUUAGUGUGUUUUUGCUUCAAACUUAAAUAUUAAAAACAAACUUUUUUCUAUCACCUAGUCUUUUGUGAAUGACUUCUCUUGAUCCCGCUCUCCCCCUCCAUGCUUUAUCCCUCCCUACCAUCCCACUCUCUGUCCCCAUCCCCUCUCCCAUUUUUUCUUGGUACUCUCCCUCUAAUGACAGUAUUAUCCUCACUCAGACAUCAGAGUCUCUCUCCCUCAGAGCUGCAUAAAAGAGAAAGGGGGGGAAGCAUGCAGGAGAAGGCGAAUUAGGCCAACGAGAGGUGUUGAUCUGAGCUCUUCAGGGACUGCAAAGGGGCUAAAGGAGCAAUUCCUCUGACUGCUGUGAUGUUUAACUCUCCUCAGAUUAGUCGUGAUACCUUUAAUCACAGCUGAACCGAAAAUGGAAGUCUAUACUGAUGGUGAAAUUGAAAAACGACUGUCUCCAAAAAAAAUACAUAAACAUGCAAUGUGUCUUAUUUGUCGUUCAUGAAGUCGGAUGUGAUGUAGAAGUUGACACAUGGGUAUAUACUUUUUUCAUUUCGUUUCAUUCAAUUUCAUACACUAUUUUAAUAUUUUUCUUUUUUGAUAUUUUUUACAUUUGAUAAUGCAUUAUUUGGAUGUUAGCGAUAAAGCUGCUGGGCAAAGACCAGCUAAACAUAACUGAUCAUUCUCUUGGCUUGAAUGAAGGAGUGUGAGGGCGAGAAAAAGAGCGAGAAAAUCAGACCGCAAACUCAAUAAGAAAAACAAUUCAGUGAGCCCUGCUGUUAUACAAAUUUGAAUAAGCUCCUUUCAAGCAAGACUUCCCCAUGAUAAGAGGUGAGGGGAGGGACAGAAAUAGAAAAAACAAACGACAAAAAAUCCCAUCAUUUAUACCAGCAUGUAUAAAAUAAAACUCACUCAGCCACUGUGAGAAGAAAAAAGUUUUGUCUGCAUUUCAAAGCCGUAACUUCAAAAACCGAAGCAUAAGAGCAAUGGGAAGAAAACAAGAGAAGUAAUAAAAAAGAGAGCAGGGAUAAUCCUCGAUAGCAUGUGGUCAACCACACACAGCACUCAUUAAAAGAAGGCUUUCUGUGGGUUUUACACUGGAAAAAAACCAAAAAGGUGAAUCCAAAUGGACUAGUAUGGCAACGUCUGGAUUCAUGAAAUGCAUACUGCAGUGACACUGUUGUAAAAGCAGGAUGACUUUGUCUUUAAACAUCUGAACCUCACCAGUCCUGGAAGGAGUGUUCAGAUACAGAACACAUAGUACUAUUCCAUAAAUAAUCUCUAAAUGCAUGUGUUCGUGUGAGCGAAUAUAAAUGACAUGUGAAAAAUCAUGACAUGAAAAGAUUUGUUUUUUACAAAUAGCAAAGCAUUUAUUUGCAAGGCAAUUUAACAAAUUGGCAAAGGUGUAACAACUUCAUGAGGACCAGGGAUCUAAAUGCAACACUUUGUUGUCUUUGUCCGUUUACUUGCAAUGCUUUUGAAACUUCAUGGUCCUUUAUUGUUUCCACUGUGUUAAACGGGUCUUCAUGUUUCUGUGAAGCAGCGCGGCUUCAGCCUGCUAACAGUCAGCUAAACCGAGACAGCUGAGCUAAACUAAUGAAGCGCACAUUCAAACUCGCCGAAGCGUAAAAUAGUCGUCGCGGUCCGCAGUCGGUGCACAAGAACCAGCGCUGCGCCGAUGCGAGCGUUCUGGGUUCGUGGAUGACGUCACCAUGACACGUUAAUAACCGCCGUACUUUGCCUGUCUGUUGCCUGUCAGCUGCGUGCGAAUUUAGGGGGGAAAACAAUUGUGACUUCGUCAACCACCAACAUUUCACAAGUUAGAAUGGAUUUAGGUCAUAGUUUUUAUUUUUUAAGAUAGUUUUCGUCUCGUCUUAGUCAUGGAAAAAAAGGUCGUUAACGAAAAAAAUUUCAUAGUUUUCGUCAACGAAAUUAACACUGCCCGGAUAUGAUUUACACUUCCAAAUAAAGUAGAAAAAUGAAUAUACUUUAAAGACGACACAUCUAGGUUACCUGUUGCCUCACAUGCAGCUACACACGACUGGCGGAGUCGCAGAUGGCAGAGAAACCACAUGACUCAAAAUCAGCUCCCAUUUAUUAUUUAUUUAGGAUCUCUAGACCUUGAGCCCGAUGGUAUCACAUGUUUAAGACCUGAGAGUCAAUAGAUACAAAUUCGAAUUGUAAGUAUGUUUCUCUAAGACAGACGACCUCUGCAAAUAACUAAGUGUGCUCAAGUUCUACUCGUACUGUAGGGAAGGGCUCACGUUUGCAAUACAACGCAAGGUUUACAUCUUUGCAACUGCAAUCUCAAUUCAUUUUUGAAAGUGGAAAAUAUGGCUUGAAUCCAUGUUAUCUGAGAUAGAAGACUCCUUCAUUUGAAUACUUUACACCGUAAACAUUGCUGUUUAACUGAAGCAAAGUAAGCUUGCCCAAAUUGGACUAGACUUUGCUUCAUAUCACCUAGACACUGCGCUAAACCCCAAACAAAUGUGCCUUUUAAAGUUAAGUUUGUCCCCACGCAAGCCUGGAAGAGGCAAGGAAUAUGCCGCCAACAGCGUUGUGUUAGAUGAGUAUUUCUGUUUCGAUGCUUCGUUAAAUGAGAACACACCGCAGUAUGAGGUUUUGCUGCAACCCAUCACCUGCAGCACAGAGGAGGAGAGAAGUGGUAGAAUAAUCCUCCCGAGGGGGCACAUAGCUGAGCGGCAACAACAGAUGUGAAAAACAAAACAAAAAAAUACACACACACAUAAAUAAUGAUUAGGUGUGCAAGUGAAAAAUGCCCCACAGUUUCCUUGAGCUCACGUUGACAUUUUCCGCUAUCGUUUAGGAACCAUCCCAUUAUUUUUCUCUACUUACCUUUACAGGCUUUUGACGGUCCUACCUUUUACUCUUUAGUUUUAGACUAAACUUUCACCACAUAUCUUGUGAAAAAUGUUCCUCAUUAGCUGCUGAACUGAAAGUGCUGACUGUGCAUCCAAUCCAUCCCUAAAUACACGGAGCUUCUCAUAUAUAUGAACGGAAGCAGAGUAGUUCAAAAAUAGUGUGAGUUUUUGAUGAAUAGCACCGGAAAUGCACCGAGACGGUUAGCAUUGACUACAGUUUGAUGGAAAACGACGACUCGCUCAACGCAGGUGAGUGCAUUUGAUUGCUGUUAAGUGCUUCAAAACAGUCAUUGAAUGCACGCUGAAGCUAUCCUCGCAUAUGUCAACAGCCCCAUAUCUUUACAGUGCGGAGGAUUGCUGGACUGCAGUAGAGGGAGAACGCCGUCUGAGAAUCAUCUUUAAUAAGGGCAUGCUUUUCCCGGUGAAAUUAAUUCUUUGAUAUCAAGAGAUGAUUUAAAAUGGUUUCCAGCUACUUCAAACAAUGUUGCGCUAAGAACAACAGAAUACAUGAAGGGAGCCUUAGAUAUGCAUAACCACAUGUGAUUUAGUCGAUGACAGAGUCUGUGUGUGUAACAGUGAGAGGAGUGGUGAAGACCGAAGGUCCCACUCCGCUCCGUGGUAAAGAAAUAGAAAAGGUUCUUUUAACAAGGCUGAUGUCACGGUGAGGGACUCAACGGGAAUCCUAUGGAGGAACACUCUAAUCCAUUCUCUUCCUGUUCACCUGUCCCACACAUCCCUCCUCCUUUUUGAGUCCCCUAACCCUUCUCUCCUAACUGAUCACCUCAACAGGGCCCCAGACUAACUUUUAUUUAGCCCCAGACUAAUUUUUAUUUAACAAUGGCCACACUAGUGCGCUUAACCCUUCAUUUAGGUGUGCCCAACAAUUUGUCUUAUCUAUUAUAUUAAAAAUAUUGAAAAAUCACAGACACAGAUGUUACAGCUGGUAUGAGACUCACCCUAAAAAUGCUGUAUCUGUCACGGUGUGGUUCACUUCAUGUUGUAGUUUUCUGCCACUUGUGUCCCCGGGUAACUUCACUUCCUGCCUUGUCCUGUCAUCCCCGUGAUCGUCUAAUAGUUUCCACCUGUGUCCAAUCACCUGCACCUCCCUUGUGUAUUUAAGCCGUGUGUCUCUUGUGUCACUGGUCUAUUGUCGUGGAUGUUCAUAGUUUCCUGCCUGCUGGGUUUCCCCUGGUUCCUGUGUGGUUUUGCCCCUUAGCCUUUUGAUUUUGCCUUUUGACUAAUAAAGCCUUUUGUUUUCCGAGAAGUCUGCGUCUGAGUCCUGCCUCCCCCACGCAUCCUUGACAGUAUCAGCUAGAAUGUGAGUCCAUCAAUGAUCUGAUAUUGUGACAUUAUUCAUCAGCUCAGUUAAGCUACAGAGAAACAAGAACACAAUGUGUGCAUAAACCAAUCAGUACUGAGUGUACAAUGUAAACUAUACUACACAACUGUAGUUAAAAUCCUUUUAUUUUUUAUUUUUUUUAAUACCGUUUUACUUAGUACUGACAGACAUGUGCCUUGAUCUAUCCGCAUCCUUAUUAUGACUGUUAUCCUGGGUUGGAUCAUUAUGGUAGCAGACCUUUGUGAAAUGAUCAUUAACUGCAAAGCAACAAUAUAAGUGCCACACAGUGAAAUGGGUGCUUUGGUGAUUGAGGCUGCAGUGAUAACUGAUUGAGAAAGAGGUUCAAUUCAUCACUUAAAGAGAGCUGCAGUUAAUGCACAUGACAGGCAACUGAGUCCCCAGUUUGAAAGGUACAUGCAUUUUACGAGUGAAUAUUGACAUGCUGUCAGAGACGUGCAAUACAGAGGGGAACAAAGAGCCUUGUAGUCUUUCAAGUAUAUUGUCGCUGACCAAGCUCGGUCAUUUGACACAUUGGUGUGAAAAGCUGUCAAAAGUGAUACAGGGCUAGUACAUGAAUGGAUUUGAUCUCAGGCAGUGAAAGUGAAUUUUUUUUGCCCACUCCUAUCCAAACACACGUCACUUUUUAUCGGUCACCAUAUUAAUCUGAUAGCUACUCAAAUCCACAAACCGUAAGUGGGAUUUAAUACAACCGGCAUGGCCAGCUACUACCCCAAAGUCAGUAAGCCACUUAAGGAUGACCAGCUAUUCUUGUGUGGCAAGCUGCUCCAUCUGCUUUUAGUGUGAUUUCUUUAACUUUUUAACAUGAAAUAUUCAUUUUUAACAUCUCUAGGGAUGACAAAACAAGGCAUUGUCGAGAAAAUAAGCUGCAGGUUACUGGUGAUGGCGAACAUCGACAUUUAUUGCAGAGUUUGUAAUAAAAACAAUGUAAUUAUAAUUACAUUGUUUUUAUUACAAACUCCGCUAAUUAGCGCAUUGGAUGAAAUAAAAUCAUAUCUGUAGAAGUCUUAACGCUUUGGAUUAGGGCUGGUAUGCUAUGAGAACUCCUGAGACUACAUCAGCGGCUAGAAGCUCCUUCUCUUUUUGAGCCAGGAAAACUAUCUCCAGUUUAAUUGGCCCGGCCUGCAGUGUGUGAGGUCACACUCUACAUGCUGAGACCAAUGUAGAGCGGCUCUGAUGUCAAUUUUAAUAUGUCUAUUGAGGGGCUACAUGGUCCCUUUAUGUGCUGAAAGGCGACCACCAGGCUCAUGAAAACUUGUAGAUUAACUGACGUUAAUGAUUAUCACCCUAUCAACCAGGCUGCAUUUCUUCAAAGGUUAAUGCUUCUGGGAUUGGCAAAAGUGUUUUCAACAAUGUGCGGACAUCACAAACGUGACGGAUGAGAGAACAGAGACAGUAGAGCGAGACAUGAUUUUGCUUUCACCUUCCUCUGCCUCUUCUGAUAGCGUUAACUAUGUGUUGGCUUUAACCUGCCAUCUUCUGCGAAGUUUGUGUAGGCGACUCUCACGCUUCGUACAGUUGUUUAAUAGUUGGCCACUGUCGGCUCCAUUCAGCGGCGGCAGAAGAGAGCAACAAAAAACCUGUUGGUAUGCAGACACCCCGCACCACGGGAACAGACGGAGGAGAGAUUUAAGAUUAUGCACCAGAUGACUGAUAUCUGCUCAUUUGUGUUCACAUCGCUUUGUAGAGCACACACGCUGAAUUCUCAGUUUGACGUGGUCAAUACAUAUUCAGAUUUUGAGAACACAUUCGAUUACAUGUUGGAUUUAUGAAAUCCACAUUGGAUUCAGACGUUUUCUUUUUGUCAUGCAGGUCAAUAGUCUGCUAUGGGGAUUUUUAUAGCUCUGUUAGAUGUACAAGAAAGUCACACUGUACAUGAGAAUGUGUUUUGUGUGUGUGAAGUGUGUGAUCCCUGCUAUCGCCUCUCCUGAAAGAACCGUGCCUCUUCCUCAACUCCAGCAGGAAUAGCUUCGAAACGUCCAUCACCUGAAAAGACUACUGAAUAUGGAGAUUUGUAGAACAUUUAUUUGUUAUUUACUGGAUUCCCAUCAGCUGGCCGCUAAUAUUUCUGGGAUCCACAGAGAGACAAAAAAGUAGUUAACACCAAACAUUUAGACCAUGACGUAAAACGUACUGUAGUUAAAUAUAGUACAAAGAGCAUGAAAAGAAUAAUAACCAAUAAUCUAGUCGUAUACCUUGUGCGGUUGAGGACUAGGAUGUAUAUAGUCCAGUACUCCUGCAAUUUGCGAAGAAUCGAAUGUGUACAAAAGCAAUGGCAAACGUCAAGUGGUUAAUGUCCUGAGGUGCUGAAAAUAACUAUACAGUUGAGGAGGUUUGUUAUAGGGGUUGGAAGUAUCAUGCAUCCUAGGCUAGCAUUCAUUGUGUAUGCUUAUUACCUGUAUAUUGUAACUGAUUAAAAAUGACCUUUCUGAAAAACACGAGAAGAGAGAUUGAUUUCUAGUGAGAACCAUGACAGGAAAAUAUGCUGUAUUUGUUCUUAUUGAACACUGAAGUGCUAAUCUGGCAACACGGUUUUCAACCAGUUGUACAGUAGUUUUGUCAGGGUUUUUUGGACUGAAUUACCCUGAAGGACCAUGUGGGGUCCUCAGUGAUCCAGUUUUAUGUAUGGCACCUGUCAUGAGUCUGUGUGGUCUUGAUUGUUCUCAUUGCGUUCACCUGUGCCUCGUUCUCUAGCCUUUAAAAAGCCAACUGUGUUUCUUUGUUACCUUUUGUUUUUUAAGAUCUUCUGUUGCCUGUUCUUUGGGACACCCUUAGUUUUCUGUUAAAUGCUCUGACUUUGUUUUUAGUUGUCUUGGAAUAUUUUGAGUUUUGUCAACGAUAUGGAACCUCCUACUUUUUGCAAGUAAAGAAACCUUUUUUUUUUUUUUUGACUCAACAUACGACUUGUCCGUGUCUGUCUCUGCACCUGAGUCACCACCACUUGCAGCACAGUGGUAGGCAAUCGGCCUGCUACACCGAGACCCAGGUUCGGAUCUCGACGACCAUGAUAGCAAGACUCUGCCAUGGAACCAGACUCAGCAGAGACAAAGUCUUCCCCAUCAUCUCGGCAACCCCGGACACCAACUGCGGCGGAUCAACUCUACGCGGCAGUGGCCAGUCACGACGCCACUGUGUCUCGCCAUGAUGCUCGCCUAACCCUCCAUGAGGCUGCCUUCCCUCGCCAAGAUCAAGUCCUGCAGGGCUUACAACAGACUUUGACCGAUGUACUAGCUCGUUUGCCACCACCGGCCUCCACCGGCCUGUAACCCUCUGGAGUUACAGCACCAUCACGCGAUUCUCUUCCACCUGGGACCCUUGCAGAACCACGGCUACCCGCUCCCGAGAGGUAUGACGGCAACCCCAGGGACUGCCGGGCCUUCCUUACCCAAUGCUCUCUCACCUUUGAACUUCAAGCCUCCUCGUUUCGCACUGAUCGCAUAGCCUACGUCAUAACUCUUCUGACCGGAAAGGCCCGGGCAACAGCUGUUUGGGAUCAGCAGGGCCAUUCCUGUGAUGACUUUAGCACCUUCACGGGCGAGAUGACCAUCCCUUGGGAGGUAGUGCUGCGUCAAGGCAUUGCUAGUGUUGCUGAGUAUGCUGUGCUCUUCCGCACCCUGGCAGCAGAGUGUAAGUGGAACGAGGAGGCCCUGAUGGCAGCGUUCCGGAAGCGGCUCGCUGGCAUUAUCAAAGAUGAACUGGCAGCUAGGGAUCCUGUUGGGGAUCUGGAGUCCCUAAUUGACCAGACUAUUCGACUCGACAACAGUCUGCGAGAGAGGCGUCGUGAACGAGAGCCGUACAGCGGUUCCAGUUCCGGAGCCGCCGCUUCAACCUUCAGUUCGCCACAGUGGCCUUGUAGGCCUCACUGUGACCCACCUUCUUCGGAGGAGCCGAUGCAGCUUGGUGGAACUCUCCUUUCCCAGGCCGAGCGGGACCGAAGGAGGAGGGAGAGAAGCUGCUUCUACUGUGGAGCUCCUAACCAUUUCCGCGCCUCAUGUCCUGUGCU
ensembl:lncRNA